UUAAGCGACUAAGCGUACACGGUGGAUGCCCUGGCAGUCAGAGGCGAUGAAGGACGUGCUAAUCUGCGAUAAGCGUCGGUAAGGUGAUAUGAACCGUUAUAACCGGCGAUUUCCGAAUGGGGAAACCCAGUGUGAUUUGUCACACUAUCAUUAACUGAAUCCAUAGGUUAAUGAGGCGAACCGGGGGAACUGAAACAUCUAAGUACCCCGAGGAAAAGAAAUCAACCGAGAUUCCCCCAGUAGCGGCGAGCGAACGGGGAGGAGCCCAGAGCCUGAAUCAGUGUGUGUGUUAGUGGAAGCGUCUGGAAAGGCGCGCGAUACAGGGUGACAGCCCCGUACACAAAAAUGCACAUGCUGUGAGCUCGAUGAGUAGGGCGGGACACGUGGUAUCCUGUCUGAAUAUGGGGGGACCAUCCUCCAAGGCUAAAUACUCCUGACUGACCGAUAGUGAACCAGUACCGUGAGGGAAAGGCGAAAAGAACCCCGGCGAGGGGAGUGAAAAAGAACCUGAAACCGUGUACGUACAAGCAGUGGGAGCACGCUUCGGCGUGUGACUGCGUACCUUUUGUAUAAUGGGUCAGCGACUUAUAUUCUGUAGCAAGGUUAACCGAAUAGGGGAGCCGAAGGGAAACCGAGUCUUAACUGGGCGUUAAGUUGCAGGGUAUAGACCCGAAACCCGGUGAUCUAGCCAUGGGCAGGUUGAAGGUUGGGUAACACUAACUGGAGGACCGAACCGACUAAUGUUGAAAAAUUAGCGGAUGACUUGUGGCUGGGGGUGAAAGGCCAAUCAAACCGGGAGAUAGCUGGUUCUCCCCGAAAGCUAUUUAGGUAGCGCCUCGUGAAUUCAUCUCCGGGGGUAGAGCACUGUUUCGGCAAGGGGGUCAUCCCGACUUACCAACCCGAUGCAAACUGCGAAUACCGGAGAAUGUUAUCACGGGAGACACACGGCGGGUGCUAACGUCCGUCGUGAAGAGGGAAACAACCCAGACCGCCAGCUAAGGUCCCAAAGUCAUGGUUAAGUGGGAAACGAUGUGGGAAGGCCCAGACAGCCAGGAUGUUGGCUUAGAAGCAGCCAUCAUUUAAAGAAAGCGUAAUAGCUCACUGGUCGAGUCGGCCUGCGCGGAAGAUGUAACGGGGCUAAACCAUGCACCGAAGCUGCGGCAGCGACACUAUGUGUUGUUGGGUAGGGGAGCGUUCUGUAAGCCUGUGAAGGUGGCCUGUGAGGGUUGCUGGAGGUAUCAGAAGUGCGAAUGCUGACAUAAGUAACGAUAAAGCGGGUGAAAAGCCCGCUCGCCGGAAGACCAAGGGUUCCUGUCCAACGUUAAUCGGGGCAGGGUGAGUCGACCCCUAAGGCGAGGCCGAAAGGCGUAGUCGAUGGGAAACAGGUUAAUAUUCCUGUACUUGGUGUUACUGCGAAGGGGGGACGGAGAAGGCUAUGUUGGCCGGGCGACGGUUGUCCCGGUUUAAGCGUGUAGGCUGGUUUUCCAGGCAAAUCCGGAAAACUAAGGCUGAGGCGUGAUGACGAGGCACUACGGUGCUGAAGCAACAAAUGCCCUGCUUCCAGGAAAAGCCUCUAAGCAUCAGGUAACAUCAAAUCGUACCCCAAACCGACACAGGUGGUCAGGUAGAGAAUACCAAGGCGCUUGAGAGAACUCGGGUGAAGGAACUAGGCAAAAUGGUGCCGUAACUUCGGGAGAAGGCACGCUGAUAUGUAGGUGAAGCGACUUGCUCGUGGAGCUGAAAUCAGUCGAAGAUACCAGCUGGCUGCAACUGUUUAUUAAAAACACAGCACUGUGCAAACACGAAAGUGGACGUAUACGGUGUGACGCCUGCCCGGUGCCGGAAGGUUAAUUGAUGGGGUUAGCGGUAACGCGAAGCUCUUGAUCGAAGCCCCGGUAAACGGCGGCCGUAACUAUAACGGUCCUAAGGUAGCGAAAUUCCUUGUCGGGUAAGUUCCGACCUGCACGAAUGGCGUAAUGAUGGCCAGGCUGUCUCCACCCGAGACUCAGUGAAAUUGAACUCGCUGUGAAGAUGCAGUGUACCCGCGGCAAGACGGAAAGACCCCGUGAACCUUUACUAUAGCUUGACACUGAACAUUGAGCCUUGAUGUGUAGGAUAGGUGGGAGGCUUUGAAGUGUGGACGCCAGUCUGCAUGGAGCCGACCUUGAAAUACCACCCUUUAAUGUUUGAUGUUCUAACGUUGACCCGUGAUCCGGGUUGCGGACAGUGUCUGGUGGGUAGUUUGACUGGGGCGGUCUCCUCCUAAAGAGUAACGGAGGAGCACGAAGGUUGGCUAAUCCUGGUCGGACAUCAGGAGGUUAGUGCAAUGGCAUAAGCCAGCUUGACUGCGAGCGUGACGGCGCGAGCAGGUGCGAAAGCAGGUCAUAGUGAUCCGGUGGUUCUGAAUGGAAGGGCCAUCGCUCAACGGAUAAAAGGUACUCCGGGGAUAACAGGCUGAUACCGCCCAAGAGUUCAUAUCGACGGCGGUGUUUGGCACCUCGAUGUCGGCUCAUCACAUCCUGGGGCUGAAGUAGGUCCCAAGGGUAUGGCUGUUCGCCAUUUAAAGUGGUACGCGAGCUGGGUUUAGAACGUCGUGAGACAGUUCGGUCCCUAUCUGCCGUGGGCGCUGGAGAACUGAGGGGGGCUGCUCCUAGUACGAGAGGACCGGAGUGGACGCAUCACUGGUGUUCGGGUUGUCAUGCCAAUGGCACUGCCCGGUAGCUAAAUGCGGAAGAGAUAAGUGCUGAAAGCAUCUAAGCACGAAACUUGCCCCGAGAUGAGUUCUCCCUGACCCUUUAAGGGUCCUGAAGGAACGUUGAAGACGACGACGUUGAUAGGCCGGGUGUGUAAGCGCAGCGAUGCGUUGAGCUAACCGGUACUAAUGAACCGUGAGGCUUAACCUU
rnacentral:rRNA from 1 species